rnacentral:rRNA from 1 species
AGAACGAACGCUGGCGGCAGGCUUAACACAUGCAAGUCGAACGCCCCGCAAGGGGGAGUGGCAGACGGGUGAGUAACGCGUGGGAACGUACCUUUCGCUUCGGAAUAGCCCCGGGAAACUGGGUGUAAAACCGGAUACGCCGUAUUGGGAAAGAUUUAUCGGCGAAAGAUCGGCCCGCGUUGGAUUAGCUAGUUGGCGGUGUAAUGGACCACCAAGGCGACGAUCCAUAGCUGGUCUGAGAGGAUGAUCAGCCACACUGGGACUGAGACACGGCCCAGACUCCUACGGGAGGCAGCAGUGGGGAAUCUUGGACAAUGGGCGCAAGCCUGAUCCAGCCAUGCCGCGUGAGUGAAGAAGGCCUUAGGGUUGUAAAACUCUUUCGCCGGUGAAGAUAAUGACGGUAGCCGGAGAAGAAGCCCCGGCUAACUUCGUGCCAGCAGCCGC